UACAGAGGGGGCAAGCGUUGUUCGGAAUUACUGGGCGUAAAGCGCGUGUAGGCGGCCAGAUAAGUCCGCUGUGAAAUCUCGAGGCUCAACUUCGAGCUGUCGGUGGAAACUGUCUGGCUAGAGUCCGGAAGAGGAGAAUGGAAUUCCUGGUGUAGCGGUGAAAUGCGCAGAUAUCAGGAAGAACACCCGUGGCGAAGGCGGUUCUCUGGGACGGUACUGACGCUGAGACGCGAAAGCGUGGGGAGCGAACAGG
rnacentral:rRNA from 1 species